GAUGAACGCUAGCGGCAGGCUUAACACAUGCAAGUCGAGGGGUAUGCCGAUUUAUCGGCAGAGACCGGCGCACGGGUGCGUAACGCGUAUGCAAUCUACCUUUUACAGAGGGAUAGCCCAGAGAAAUUUGGAUUAAUACCUCAUAGUAUAACACAAUCGCAUGGUUGAGUUAUUAAAGUCACAACGGUAAAGAUGAGCAUGCGUCCCAUUAGCUAGUUGGUAAGGUAACGGCUUACCAAGGCGACGAUGGGUAGGGGUCCUGAGAGGGAGAUCCCCCACACUGGUACUGAGACACGGACCAGACUCCUACGGGAGGCAGCAGUGAGGAAUAUUGGACAAUGGGCGCAAGCCUGAUCCAGCCAUGCCGCGUGCAGGAUGACGGUCC
rnacentral:rRNA from 1 species